rnacentral:tRNA from 2 species
GCCUCGAUAGCUCAAUUGGUAGAGCACGUGACUCUUAAUCACUAGGUUGUAGGUUCGAGUCCUACUCGGGGCA